rnacentral:rRNA from 1 species
UACGUAGGGUGCAAACGUUGUCCGGAAUUACUGGGUGUAAAGGGUGCGCAGGCGGGUAGGUGCGUCAGAGGUUAAAUAUUUCGGCUCAACCGAAAAAAUGCCUUUGAUACGGCCUAUCUUGAGUACGAGAGAGGAUGAUAGAAUUCCUGGUGUAGCGGUGAAAUGCGUAGAUAUCAGGAGGAAUACCAGUGGCGAAGGCGGUCAUCUGGCUCGUAACUGACGCUUAGGCACGAAAGUGUGGGUAGCGAACAGG